rnacentral:misc_RNA from 1 species
GUGGACAUACAUACAAACAAAGCUAGGUUUUAUUGCACUAGAGUACAUAUCCUCUGUUGUAAAAUUAUUGCUUUGUGGAGGGCAGGCUUUGAGAAAAGACAAAUGGAUACACAAGACAUUGAGUGUUCAUUGAUUAGAGAAACUGUAAAUGAAGAAGAGUCCAAGAACAAGAAAAAUGAAAUUUUUGAAGAAAUGAAGAGGUUAUUGGUACUAGCAGGACCUCUUAUGACAGUUAAUUUCUUACUUUAUUGUUUACAAGUGAUAUCUAUAAUGUUUGUUGGUCAUCUUGGAGAGUUACCUCUAUCUGGUGCUUCAAUGGCUACUUCAUUUG